rnacentral:rRNA from 1 species
GCAAGUCGAACGGUAACAGGAAGAGCUUGCUCUUUGCUGACGAGUGGCGGACGGGUGAGUAACGCGUAGGAAUCUGCCCACGGGCGGGGGAUACCAUUUGGAAACGAAUGUUAAUACCGCAUAAUACCUUAGGGUCAAAGGUGGCUUUUAUUAGCUAUCACCUGUGGAUGAGCCUGCGUAAGAUUAGCUUGUUGGUGGGGUAAAGGCCUACCAAGUCUACGAUCUAUAGCUGGUUUUAGAGGAUGAUC